rnacentral:rRNA from 1 species
UACGUAGGGGGCAAGCGUUGUCCGGAAUCAUUGGGCGUAAAGAGCGUGUAGGCGGCCCGGUAAGUCCGCUGUAAAAGUCAAAGGCUCAACCUUUGAAUGUCAGUGGAUACUGCCGGGCUAGAGUCCGGAAGAGGCGAGUGGAACUCCUGGUGUAGCGGUGGAAUGCGCAGAUAUCAGGAAGAACACCAACGGCGAAGGCAGCUCGCUGGGACGGUACUGACGCUGAGACGCGAAAGCGUGGGGGAGCGAACAGG